CGCCUCUUGCCAAACCAAAAGUAUAAGAGGUCCCGCCUGCCCUGUGACUAUAUGUUUAACGGCCGCGGUAUUUUGACCGUGCGAAGGUAGCGCAAUCACUUGUCUUUUAAAUGGAGACCUGUAUGAAUGGCAUAACGAGGGCUUGACUGUCUCCUCUUUCAAGUCAAUGAAAUUGAUCUCCCCGUGAAGAAGCGGGGAUAGGCACAUAAGACGAGAAGACCCUAUGGAGCUUUAGACACCAAGGCAGAUUAUGGUUCCUAGUCCUAACUAAAAGGACAUAAAUUGAUUAAACCCUGCCCCUAUGUCUUUGGUUGGGGCGACCGCGGAGAAACAAAAAACCCCCGCAUGGACCGAACGUAUAACGUUUACAACUAAGAGCCACAGCUCUAAUUAACAGAACUUCUGACCAACUAGAUCCGGCAACGCCGAUCAAUGAACCGAGUUACCCUAGGGAUAACAGCGCAAUCUCCUCUUAGAGUCCAUAUCGACGAGGGGGUUUACGACCUCGAUGUUGGAUCAGGACAUCCUAAUGGUGCAGCCGCUAUUAAGGGUUCGUUUGUUCAACGAUUAAAGUCCU
rnacentral:rRNA from 1 species